rnacentral:pre_miRNA from 1 species
UUAUGAAAUAAAGAAUUUGUCUUGAACAACUGCUUAUGAUGAAAAAAUGUCAUCAGCAGUUGUUCCAUUGACAAGUUAUAUUUCAUUGAUAU